UAUUAGCACUAUGGUUGCGUUAGGGAUUGCAGUGGAAAUCCUUUUUAUGAGUUACGAUUAAAAAGAUUGCAACGGAAAGCCCGACCUUUA
rnacentral:sRNA from 1 species